AUUGAACGCUGGCGGCAGGCCUAACACAUGCAAGUCGAGCGGCAGCGGAAAGUAGCUUGCUACUUUGCCGGCGAGCGGCGGACGGGUGAGUAAUGUCUGGGAAACUGCCUGAUGGAGGGGGAUAACUACUGGAAACGGUAGCUAAUACCGCAUAAUGUCGCAAGACCAAAGAGGGGGACCUUCGGGCCUCUUGCCAUCAGAUGUGCCCAGAUGGGAUUAGCUAGUAGGUGGGGUAACGGCUCACCUAGGCGACGAUCCCUAGCUGGUCUGAGAGGAUGACCAGCCACACUGGAACUGAGACACGGUCCAGACUCCUACGGGAGGCAGCAGUGGGGAAUAUUGCACAAUGGGCGCAAGCCUGAUGCAGCCAUGCCGCGUGUAUGAAGAAGGCCUUCGGGUUGUAAAGUACUUUCAGCGGGGAGGAAGGUGUUGAGGUUAAUAACCUCAGCAAUUGACGUUACCCGCAGAAGAAGCACCGGCUAACUCCGUGCCAGCCGCCGCGGUAAUAC
rnacentral:rRNA from 1 species